rnacentral:rRNA from 1 species
GACGAACGCUGGCGGCGUGCUUAACACAUGCAAGUCGAACGGAAAGGCCCUGCUUUUGUGGGGUGCUCGAGUGGCGAACGGGUGAGUAACACGUGAGUAACCUGCCCUUGACUUUGGGAUAACUUCAGGAAACUGGGGCUAAUACCGGAUAGGAGCUCCUGCUGCAUGGUGGGGGUUGGAAAGUUUCGGCGGUUGGGGAUGGACUCGCGGCUUAUCAGCUUGUUGGUGGGGUAGUGGCUUACCAAGGCUUUGACGGGUAGCCGGCCUGAGAGGGUGUCCGGCCACAUUGGGACUGAGAUACGGCCCAGACUCCUACGGGAGGCAGCAGUGGGGAAUAUUGCACAAUGGGCGGAAGCCUGAUGCAGCAACGCCGCGUGCGGGAUGACGGCCUUCGGGUUGUAAACCGCUUUCGCCUGUGACGAAGCGUGAGUGACGGUAAUGGGUAAAGAGGCACCGGCUAACUACGUG